rnacentral:misc_RNA from 1 species
UCUCCGUAGGUGAACCUGCGGAGGGAUCAUUACAAGUGACCCCGGUCUAACCACCGGGAUGUUCAUAACCCUUUGUUGUCCGACUCUGUUGCCUCCGGGGCGACCCUGCCUUCGGGCGGGGGCUCCGGGUGGACACUUCAAACUCUUGCGUAACUUUGCAGUCUGAGUAAACUUAAUUAAUAAUUACAACUUUCAACAACGGAUCUCUUGGUUCUGGCAUCGAUGAAGAACGCAGC